rnacentral:rRNA from 1 species
UGGGGAAUUUUGGACAAUGGGCGCAAGCCUGAUCCAGCCAUGCCGCGUGCGGGAAGAAGGCCUUCGGGUUGUAAACCGCUUUUGUCAGGGAAGAAAUCUUCUGAGUUAAUACCUCGGGAGGAUGACGGUACCUGAAGAAUAAGCACCGGCUAACUACGUGCCAGCAGCCGCGGUAAUACGUAGGGUGCAAGCGUUAAUCGGAAUUACUGGGCGUAAAGCGUGCGCAGGCGGUUUUGUAAGACAGAGGUGAAAUCCCCGGGCUCAACCUGGGAACUGCCUUUGUGACUGCAAGGCUUGAGUGCGGCAGAGGGGGAUGGAAUUCCGCGUGUAGCAGUGAAAUGCGUAGAUAUGCGGAGGAACACCGAUGGCGAAGGCAAUCCCCUGGGCCUGCACUGACGCUCAUGCACGAAAAGCGUGGGGGAGCAAAACAGGAUUAGAUACCCCUGGUAGUCCACGCCCUAAAACGAUGUCAACUGGUUGUUGGGAAGGUUCCUUCUCAGUAACGUAGCUAACGCGUGAAGUUGACCGCCUGGGGAGUACGGCCGCAAGGUUG